ACAACCUUACCGAAGACCGAGUUGUUCAUGAGUUUGAAGAAGUUCUUCUCGAAAGCAGUCUUGGCUUGUUGUCGCAUUUUGGUGUUGAACUCAACGUAGGGUUUCAUGAAAGCCUCUUGUUGGAACUCUAAUACUUUAUGUAUUUUUUUUCAAUUUUAGACCGAGUUGGAGAUACAGUUGCAGGUUCCGAUAGUGAAGUACAUAAUUCUGUUUGUUUUCUAAAGUGGUGCGGACUUGGAGAGAGCGGUGUUCUUGCAGUAGAAGAUGGUGUAGAUAGCUGACUGUAGCUGUGCUCGUUCUGAAGUUGUGAAGUGGUGAGAAGUCCUGUUGUAUGAUCUACAUUGCUUGUUGAAGAGGAGCUUUGGGUGUCGCUGCUUGGAGGUCGAAAGACAAUCAACGUCUGAGAGGGAAAUAUGUUGGUGCGCAAUUUAUACAACUUGUUUGAAUGUGGGCUUACAUCAACGACAGCAAGACUUUGCGAUCGACACUCUACUCUGUCAAAUGGAUAUUUAGCUGUGCUGUUUUUCAACAACUCUGCAUGAGCUACAAUAAGAGCUGGAUUGACUCUUACCUUCUUUGCUAUUCGCUUUUCGCUUGAUUUACAAUUUGCUGUGUGGGGGAAGUCACGUUCAAUGCCAAGUCACUGCUCUCUGCGGAAGCCUUAUGAGAUCAUCCGGGGAUAUCGCCAUAUUGAAAACCCGCCAGAGGUUCGGUCCACGUCCAUGGUGCUCGGGAUGAGUCAUUGGAGGACGAAGAUCGGGUGUCCUUAUGCUGCCAUGAAAUGUC